UUGAAGAGUUUGAUCAUGGCUCAGAUUGAACGCUGGCGGCAGGCCUAACACAUGCAAGUCGAACGGUAACAGGAAGCAGCUUGCUGCUUUGCUGACGAGUGGCGGACGGGUGAGUAAUGUCUGGGAAACUGCCUGAUGGAGGGGGAUAACUACUGGAAACGGUGGCUAAUACCGCAUAACGUCGCAAGACCAAAGAGGGGGACCUUCGGGCCUCUUGCCAUCAGAUGUGCCCAGAUGGGAUUAGCUUGUUGGUGAGGUAACGGCUCACCAAGGCGACGAUCCCUAGCUGGUCUGAGAGGAUGACCAGCCACACUGGAACUGAGACACGGUCCAGACUCCUACGGGAGGCAGCAGUGGGGAAUAUUGCACAAUGGGCGCAAGCCUGAUGCAGCCAUGCCGCGUGUAUGAAGAAGGCCUUCGGGUUGUAAAGUACUUUCAGCGGGGAGGAAGGUGUUGUGGUUAAUAACCGCAGCAAUUGACGUUACCCGCAGAAGAAGCACCGGCUAACUCCGUGCCAGCAGCCGCGGUAAUACGGAGGGUGCAAGCGUUAAUCGGAAUUACUGGGCGUAAAGCGCACGCAGGCGGUCUGUCAAGUCGGAUGUGAAAUCCCCGGGCUCAACCUGGGAACUGCAUUCGAAACUGGCAGGCUUGAGUCUUGUAGAGGGGGGUAGAAUUCCAGGUGUAGCGGUGAAAUGCGUAGAGAUCUGGAGGAAUACCGGUGGCGAAGGCGGCCCCCUGGACAAAGACUGACGCUCAGGUGCGAAAGCGUGGGGAGCAAACAGGAUUAGAUACCCUGGUAGUCCACGCCGUAAACGAUGUCUACUUGGAGGUUGUGCCCUUGAGGCGUGGCUUCCGGAGCUAACGCGUUAAGUAGACCGCCUGGGGAGUACGGCCGCAAGGUUAAAACUCAAAUGAAUUGACGGGGGCCCGCACAAGCGGUGGAGCAUGUGGUUUAAUUCGAUGCAACGCGAAGAACCUUACCUGGUCUUGACAUCCACAGAAGAAUCCAGAGAUGGAUUUGUGCCUUCGGGAACUGUGAGACAGGUGCUGCAUGGCUGUCGUCAGCUCGUGUUGUGAAAUGUUGGGUUAAGUCCCGCAACGAGCGCAACCCUUAUCCUUUGUUGCCAGCGAUUAGGUCGGGAACUCAAAGGAGACUGCCAGUGAUAAACUGGAGGAAGGUGGGGAUGACGUCAAGUCAUCAUGGCCCUUACGACCAGGGCUACACACGUGCUACAAUGGCGCAUACAAAGAGAAGCGACCUCGCGAGAGCAAGCGGACCUCAUAAAGUGCGUCGUAGUCCGGAUUGGAGUCUGCAACUCGACUCCAUGAAGUCGGAAUCGCUAGUAAUCGUGGAUCAGAAUGCCACGGUGAAUACGUUCCCGGGCCUUGUACACACCGCCCGUCACACCAUGGGAGUGGGUUGCAAAAGAAGUAGGUAGCUUAACCUUCGGGAGGGCGCUUACCACUUUGUGAUUCAUGACUGGGGUGAAGUCGUAACAAGGUAACCGUAGGGGAACCUGCGGUUGGAUCACCUCCUU
rnacentral:rRNA from 1 species